CCUACGGGUGGCAGCAGUGAGGAAUAUUGGUCAAUGGACGAGAGUCUGAACCAGCCAAGUAGCGUGAAGGAUGAAUGCCCUAUGGGUUGUAAACUUCUUUUAUAAAGGAAUAAAACGAGGCACGUGUGCCUUUUUGCAUGUACUUUAUGAAUAAGGAACGGGCAACUCCGCGCCAGCAGCCGCGGUAAUACGGAGGAUCCGAGCGUUAUCCGGAUUUAUUGGGUUUAACGGGAGCGUAGAUGGGUUGUUAAGUCAGUUGUGAAAGUUUGCGGCUCAACCGUAGAAUUGCAAUUGAUACUGGCAGUCUUGAGUACAGUUGAGGUAGGCGGAAUUCGAGGUG
rnacentral:rRNA from 1 species